rnacentral:rRNA from 1 species
CAGCGGUUAGGAGCUUACACCCACCCGUGUUUACAUACUAUUGUUGCUUUGGCGGGCCGUGGCCUCCACUGCGGGCUCUGCUCGUGUGUGCCCGCCAGAGAACCAAACUCUGAAUGUUAGUGAUGUCUGAGUACUAUCUAAUAGUUAAAACUUUCAACAACGGAUCUCUUGGUUCUGGCAUCGAUGAAGAACGCAGCGAAAUGCGAUAAGUAAUGUGAAUUGCAGAAUUCAGUGAAUCAUCGAAUCUUUGAACGCACAUUGCGCCCUGUGGUAUUCCGCAGGGCAUGCCUGUUCGAGCGUCAUUUAACCACUCACGCCUAGCGUGGUAUUGGGGCACGCGGUCUCCGCGGCCCUCAAAAUUAGUGGCGGCGCCGGUGGGCUCUAAGCGUAGUACAUACUCCCGCUAUAGAGUUCCCCCGGUGGCUCGCCAGAACCCCCAAUUUUUACAGGUUGACCUCGGAUCAGGUAGGGAUACCCGCUGAACUUAAGCAUAUCAAUA